rnacentral:rRNA from 1 species
UAACGCGAAGAACCUUACCUAGGCUAGAAUGCGCGUGACCGGCUCAGAGAUGAGCUUUUCCUUCGGGACACAAAGCAAGGUGCUGCAUGGCCGUCGUCAGCUCGUGCCGUGAGGUGUUGGGUUAAGUCCCGCAACGAGCGCAACCCCUAUGUUUAGUUGCCAGCAUGUAAUGAUGGGGACUCUAGACAGACUGCCUGCGCAAGCAGUGAGGAAGGCGGGGACGACGUCAGGUCAUCAUGGCCCUUACGCCUAGGGCGACACACGUGCUACAAUGGACGGUACAGCGGGUAGCUACUGGGCGACCAGAUGCCAAUCUCGAAAAGCCGUUCUCAGUUCGGAUCGGAGUCUGCAACUCGACUCCGUGAAGCUGGAAUCACUAGUAAUCGCGCAUCAGCCAUGGCGCGGUGAAUACGUUCCCGGGUCUUGUUAAGGUUCUUCGCGUUACCCCGGUGUGUACAA